rnacentral:lncRNA from 1 species
UUUAACCUCAUUACAAUAUGUUGACCUAAGCAAUAACAAGUUGUCAGGAAAUAUUCCGUUCUCAAUGGGUGCCCUUGUUAACAUGGAGGCUUUGAUUUUAAGAAAUAAUAAUUUGAGUGGACAACUUACUUCCUCAUUGAAGAAUUGCUCAGACAAGCUGGCGAUGGUGGAUCUUGGAGGAAAUAAUUUUGAUGGUCCAAUACCUUCAUGGAUUGGAGACGGUUUACACCAAUUAAUAAUCUUAAGUCUUCGGUUCAAUAAUUUUAGUGGGAGUCUACCUUCAACUCUGUGUUAUUUGGAAAAACUUCAAGUCUUGGAUCUGUCACUAAACAUCAUAUCAGGAGGAAUUCCAUCAUGUAUUAAGAAUUUUACUUCAAUGGCUCAGAACACUAUUAGCUCAACUUCAGGUCAUUUGUAUGUGGAUUCGUUCAAUGACAUUAUUAAUGGAUUCGCUGGCAUAUCAUAUGAGUUUGACAUAUCCUUGAUGUGGAAAGGUGUAGACCAACGUUUCAAAAAUGCAGAUAUGCUUUUAAAAAGCAUUGAUCUCUCAAGCAAUCAUCUUACAGGGGAAAUACCAACUGAAAUGGAGUACUUAUUUGGNNNNNNNNNNNNNNNNNNNNNNNNNNNNNNNNNNNNNNNNNNNNNNNNNNNNNNNNNNNNNNNNNNNNNNNNNNNNNNNNNNNNNNNNNNNNNNNNNNNNNNNNNNNNNNNNNNNNNNNNNNNNNNNNNNNNNNNNNNNNNNNNNNNNNNNNNNNNNNNNNNNNNNNNNNNNNNNNNNNNNNNNNNNNNNNNNNNNNNNNNNNNNNNNNNNNNNNNNNNNNNNNNNNNNNNNNNNNNNNNNNNNNNGAUUUAACUGAAUCAUGAAUAUUUUUAGUCUUGGGAUAGAUGCUUUGCUAUUACUCAUUGUUUGUGUUUUUUCAUGGCUAUUUUUGUAUGACUAAAGCUAAUUUUUUGCAGGAUCUCCUGUUCCUGAUGUACGUGAUGAUUACAUAUUUGCUGUUAUAAAGUAAUAUGGAUUGAUUAGCAGUGUGGAGUCCUCACUCUUGACUGUACUUUGGUUAUGAAUAAAUGAGAUUUGUUAAAACUUUAGUGUGUGUCACUGUGUUUUGUUAGGCUUUCAAGUUUGGCAGUUUUUGUGUGGAAAAGUGAUUGCUUCUGCUAUCAAGUUAAUAAUGUAAUGGGUUUAGUAAUAUGUAAGAGUACUCAUUAGUGGCUUGUAUAUUAUCUUUAUUAGCAGAAUUGUUAGUAGUGUUGUACUUUGGUUUAGUGAGAUGUUUGAGUCAUUUAAACAUACAAUCAAGGACAUUUUUCUGACAUCAUGUUUCGGAAGUUAAUUAUAUCUUUAAUUAAUGUAACUAAAAAAACCUUUUGAUCAUUAGAAAACUGAGUGUUUAACUCAUACUAAUCACUAAUCACUCAUACCCAUUUCACUAAUCUCUCCAAAUUGGAAAUCCUAGACUUGUCUCAUAACAUGGGGAUUGUGGAGAUUGGUGAUGAUUGGAUUCCUCCUUUUCAAUUACAAUAUUGGAUUCUACCAUCUUUCCAAUAAUAAAUUUACAGACUUAGUUUCUUUUCUAUGCAGCAAAAGUAAGCCUAACAUAUUGACAAUGUUGGAUUUAUCAAACAAUGAAUUAAUGGGUGAGUUGCCUAAUUGUUGGAAUAAUCUAACCUUAUGGCUUCAGUUAUCAAGUUCAUUUUCCUACACAUAUUGUUAAUGAUAUAUAUCUGAUGAUACUCUUUUUCUUGAGACACACUCUUAAGAGAAGUGAUAAAAAUAGAUGAACUAAGUGUUCAACUCAAUCACUUUGUUUUGACUGAAACAAAGGAUUGUAGCACAAUCUGAGUUGAGUUAUGUCCAAACCACACCCGAGUACAAAAGCUUAUUGGGAAAAGGCUAAAUAGUCUGUACAUAAGCUUAACUUUACACAUAACCUUACCCCCACCACUGAUCGAAAUUAACUUUACACAUAAUAAGCUUAUCAUAUCUAAGUCAUUCUGUCAAAAUUACUAUUAUUGUUAAGAAACACUCUAAAUCUCUUAUCUACUUCGGAUUCUUCACCUAAUACUGUUGUUGAGAUGUACUUUUAAGGCCAUAGAUCACACUUUAUUGGAUAGUAUUAAUAAAGUAUUAGGAACUUGCCCAAUUCUUUGAAAAGCAAUCCAGACAAUACAAAUUUAUAAUAAAGUCAUCAUUUCCAAAAUUUUAAGCUCAUGGAUCACAUUUUACCUAAUUAUGUAAUUGGUCUUUGGAAUUUAUUAUCAAUUGGGCCAACAACUAACUAUUCCAAAUUCGGUGACUACAUUCUUUUUAAAGAAAAGUAGAUGCUUUCUGUAUUUGGAUACUGUGGUGAUGACCAUGGACUCUAGUAAGUAUUAAACAACAUAUUGCAACAAUUAGAACAUAAUAUUCCAUCUCAUCCUUAUGCAAUUAUUACAAAAUUAUCAUGAAUUAAUGAUAGAUAAAUCAUCUCUGAUAAAUGAACACCUGAUACACCGCAAAUUUCCAGCAGGUAUGGUUACACCAGCUGCAAAUCUAAAGUCAGGCUAAAGGAUGGACGUACGUUAAUAAUGAACAAGAAGUGAAAAUGUGCGAAGGCGAUGAGACAAAUAUAAAUGUACUUAUGUAGGAGUGAAGGUUGAAAUGUUCAAAAACAAUCCUGAAAUAUAUUUUAAGAUGCUAAUAUAAUGAAUCUCAUUCAGAUUCCAAAUCAUGCUUUCACAUCACACUAACAUCACUCUAGUGCAUUAAAAUGAGUCCAUAAAACAUGUUAAGAAUCCUACGUCGGAUGGUUAUAGAUUUAACAAUCACUAGUGCAUUAAAAUGAGUCCAUACUAAUUAGCUCAUUUUAUGCACUCUGUUUGCAUCUAUUGCCAAAAUAUAUAAUGUUGAAUUAGUCGAUAUUUUCCAGUCCUUUAAACAUCAUGCAAUAAGGACAUUGUUUUGAAACUUGUAUAUCACAAUCAAGUUUUGGAAGUAAUAUCUUCAUUUUAAUACAACUAAAUAUAUUUAUAUUAAAAUGUUAGUUAUGUUUUUAACUCAUACGAAAAAACAACAGCACUAAUUUCACCUAGUUGUACUGUUAAUAAAGUGUUAUAGGAAUUACCUUUCCCAAUUCUUUCAAAAAGAAUCUAGACAAUACUAAUAAAGUCAUUGAUUACAAAAUUUAAAAGGACAUGUGGAUCACACAUUAACUAAUUAAUUAUAUCAUUGAAUUUGGCAAUUUACUAUCAAAUGAGUUCACAACAGACCAAUGAACCCAACCAUUCAGUCACUACAUUCUUUUUAAAGGAAAAGUAAAUGCUUUUUGUAUUUAUAAAAGACCUUUACAUGUACAAUGUAUCUUUGAAAACAAAAUUGCACAAUGACGUGAAAACAAUUGAAUAGCAAGAAACACAUGCACGCACCUUGGAAACAUCGCGCAAAUGGUGUUUUACAGAUCGACCUCAAGCACUAUAUAUCUGUGUAUGUGUUAGUUCUUGAGAGUAUACUUUCCAUUAGAAAAACUCAAUUUUAUUUUGCGAGCGAAAUUACAAUGAGAAACUUUAAUAUUCUUAUAUUCCAUGCAUUGUUGGUGUUGUUCUCCAUUGUCGGGUUCAGCUCAGCAACAGAGAAUGAAGAAAUGAUGUGCAAAGAGAGGGAGAGACGUGCACUCCUCAAGUUCAAACAAAGUCUUCAAGAUGAGUUUGGCAUGCUGUCCACAUGGAAGGACGAUCCAUAUGCAGAUUGCUGCAAAUGGAAAGGAGUUCAAUGCAACAAUAAAACCGGCUAUGUUCAAAAGCUUGACCUACACAGUUCUUAUGAUUAUCAAUUCAGCGGUGAAAUCAAUCCUUCUAUAACUGAGCUACAACAUCUAAAAUAUCUAGAUCUUAGUGGUAUGUUUACUGGAUCCCACAUCCCAAUUUGUUUUGGCAACUUCAGCAAGUUAAGAUACCUUAAUCUCUCAUCUGGUGGUUAUGAUGGGGAAAUUCCUUCUCAACUUGGAAAACUAUCACAGUUGCAACACCUUGAUCUCAGCUACAAUUAUCUUAUUAGAACAAUCCCUUUUCAACUUGGGAAUCUAUCCCAUUUGUGACACCUUGAUCUCAGUGGCAAUGAACUCAUUGGAGAAAUACCCUGGCAACUAGGAAAUCUUUCAUUGUUGCAGUCUCUUUUAUUCGGUUCCAGAUUUCGAAUCGAAUCCAAUCUUAGAAUCAACAGCCAAAGUCAAGGCAAUGUUGAGUGGCUACCAAAACUCUCUUCCUUGAGAAAUCUUGACUUGAGCGGUGUUCAAAAACUCAACGACUCUUCUCAUCAGACCCUACGAUUCCUAGUGAAGCUUCCAAGUCUUGAAAAGUUGUAUCUCAGACAAUGUGGCCUUACGAAUGCCAACAUUCUUCCUUUAUUUGAUUCCCGAUUGAACUUUUCUACCUGUCUUUAUGACCUUAAUCUAAGUGACAAUCAGCUGACAUCAUCGAAAAUAUUGCACAAGGUGCUUAACUGCAGCUCCAAUCUUCAAAAGCUUGACCUUUCUUCUAACUUCUUAACAGGUGUCAUUUCUGAUGAUUUUGGAAACAUAAUGCAUUCACUUGUGAAUCUCGAUCUCUCAUACAAUAGUUUUGGAGGCAAGAUCCCAAAAUCCAUUGGAAAUAUAUGCACCUUGCAGACAUUUGCUGCUAAUGAUAACCGCUUUAGUGGAGAGCUUUCAGAUUUUAUCAUCCAUAAUAACUAUUCCCACUGCAUUGGAAAUGUAUCCUCGUUACAUGAACUAUCCUUAUCGUAUAAUCAGAUUUCUGGCAUGUUGCCUGACCUUUCAGUCCUCUCAUCUUUGAGAAUGUUAAUGCUUUGGGACAACAAAUUAAUUGGAGAAAUACCAACAAGCAUCGGAUCUCUCAAGAAGUUAGAGGAAUUGUAUCUAGGAGGAAACUAUAUUGAAGGUGUUGUCGCUGAAUCCCAUUUCACUAAUCUGUCCAAAUUGCAACACCUAGAUUUGUCGGAAAACCUAUUGACUAUGAAGGUUAGUGAUGAUUGGGUUCCUCCUUUUAAAUUAAAUUAUUUUGAUAUGGGAUCUUGCAAUCUCAAUUCUUCUUUUCCUAUUUGGCUCCAUACUCAAAAUUUCUUAGAGAAACUUGACAUUUCAAACAGCAAUAUCACUGGCCAGGUUCCCAACUUAGAACUCGAGUUUACAAACAAUCCUGAAGUAAAUUUGAGUUCAAAUCAACUUGAAGGUUCCGUUCCUUCUUUUCUAUUACAAUCACAAGCACUGCAUCUUUCCGAUAAUAAAUUUUCAGAUUUAGUUUCCUUUCUAUGCAGAAAAAGUAAGCCUAAUAUUUUGAAAAUUUUGAAUUUGUCAAACAAUCAAUUAAAAGGUGAGCUGCCUGAUUGUUGGGAUAAUGUAACCUCAUUACAGUUUGUUGAUCUGAGUAAUAACAAUUUGUCGGGAAAGAUUCCAUCCUCAAUGGGUGCCCUUGUUAACAUGGAGGCUUUGAUCUUAAGAAAUAAUAGUUUGAGUGGACAACUUCCUUCGUCCUUGAAGAAUUGCUCAAGAAAGUUGGCUUUGUUGGACCUUGGAGAAAAUAUGUUUCAUGGUCCAAUACCUUCAUGGAUUGGAGACAGUUUACACCAAUUAAUUAUCUUAAGCCUUCGAUCUAAUAACUUCAACAGAGGUCUACCUUCAAACCUAUGUUAUUUGAGAGAACUUCAAGUCUUUGAUUUGUCACUUAAUAGCUUAUCGGGAGGAAUCCCAACAUGUGUAAACAAUUUUACUUCAAUGGCCAAGAACUCAACUUCGUUGAAAGAUCAUUCGUAUACAAUCAAUUUUCCCAAUGGUUCUAUCACUCUACCAUAUGAUUUCGACAUAUUCUUAUUUUGGAAAGGUGUAGAUCGAAGCUUCAUAGGUGCAGAUAAGCUUUUAAAAAGUAUUGAUCUUUCAAGCAACAAUCUAACAGGGAAAAUGCCUACUGAAAUUGAGUACUUGUUUGGAUUGGUUUCCUUAAAUUUGUCAAGGAACAAUCUCAGUGGAGAAAUCAUUUCAAACAUAGGAAACUUCAAAUCACUCGAAUUUCUUGAUCUGUCAAGAAAUCAUCUAUCAGGCAAAAUUCCUUCCAGUCUAACUCAUAAUGAUCGUCUCACUAUGUUGGAUUUGUCAAACAAUCAACUCUACGGAAAAGUUCCAACUGGAACACAGCUGCAGACAUUUAACGCUUCAAGUUUUAAGGGAAAUUCUAAUCUUUGUGGAGAACCACUUGAUACAAAAUGUCCAGGAGAUGAUCCACCAAAACAUCAAGUUCCAGCAACUAAUGAUGCAGGAGAUGACAGUUCAAUAUUUUUGGAAACAUUAUACAUGAGCAUGGGGCUAGGAUUCUUCACGAGUUUUUGUGGCUUUGUUGGUUCAAUUUUGUUAGUACCGUCUUGGAGAGAAACCUACUCCAAAUUCUUGAAUGCUUUAAUAUUGAGAAUCAUCAUGUGGUGGAAGCAGUGAAUGUAUCUGGCCAGUUGCUCUAAAGUGGAUGAAUGAUGGGCAGGUAUUUCUGUUAUUUCUUACUCUGCUAUUUAGCUUUGUGAUAGUUGCUUUAUGAAUGACUGAAAUUCAUUUACCAUAUGACAAUUUUAUUAUUACCACUGUUGAUAUAUGUGUAACUAAAACAUUUCUACAAUUUGUAUUGCAUUUCCCAGUGAUCAAUAAUCUGUUUCUUUUUAACAUUCAAGUUAGUUUUGUAAAAUCAUGUCUUGUGUCAUAAGAAAGUAUAAAAAUAAAUCUUCAAAGUCUAGAAAUGGAAAAUUGUAUUUUUUUUACUUGCUCAUAUGUUUGAUCCUAGUGGUUUAAUGCUCUUUCCAAAUACUGAAAUUGAAUUUUGUUUUUCAGGGUCUUCAAUUUCUUUGUUAUGAGAUAAAUAUUUGGCUAGCAUCCUGGAGAGUACACCUUUGAUGAAUAACUAUUCUGUUGUACUAAAUAAAAUGAAUGCAGUUCAAAUUUCUUGUAUGAUAACGUUGAUUGUAUUUUGUUAUGUUUUGAAGUUUGGUAAAUUUUUUAGAUGGAAAUUUGGGAUUUUUGCUGUCAAGUUAUUAUGUGAUACAUCAAAUUACUUAACAUAAUGCUAACUGAAUAUCACAACAUGCACUCUGCUUUCAUACUAACAAUACAAUAUAUGUUUCUUAAAAUUUAGACAGAAAGUAUAUCACAAUCAAGUAAAUGACUUGUGCAAUUCAUGAAUAUCAUGAAAAGUAUAUCACAGUUGAUUGAAGAAAGGUGAACUCAUGGAUAUUGUAUUUUGAGUUAGAGAUUCAUGAAUUGGAUAAGCCAUUUACUUAUUGUGUUCCUAGGACAUUGUUUUGACACUUGAAUAUCACAAAAUUAAGUUUUAGAAGUUAUAAAAACAAAUUUUGAUUUUGAGUUUUUUUUUUUUUUUNNNNNNNNNNNNNNNNNNNNNNNNNNNNNNNNNNNNNNNNNNNNNNNNNNNNNUUUUUUAUAUAUAAAUACAUAUUCAUGUGCGUGCAAUCAUAACAACUCCAAUAAAAACACUAAGACAAAGAAUUCUAAUGUUAAUGCAUGUUCAAGAUUAAAACUUUACUUUCUUUAAGAAGUCAAAUAAUAUAUUAACUGAAAAUCUCAAUUAAGUACAUGGGAAAAAAAUACAAAAAGUCCAAAAGAGGGGCAAAAAUAGCACCCAAAAAGAAAGAACGUUACACAUUUAAGUUGAAACAUCAUGUAGUUUUAAUCCCUAAACAAAUUAACGGAUUGUACCAAUUAUUUAAAUCAUACUCGAAGCCUUUUACCUUUGAAUUCAAUCACCAAACAAGAGUUAAAACUAUUAGCUAAGAUUGAAUGAGUUGAGAGUCGACUUAUCAAGUUAGUAACUAUUUAGAAUUAUAUUUAGAAGUCUUGUAGAAAAGUUAAUCCUACAAAAGGUCAAUUAAAGCUUUUGAUAGAUUUACCAAUUUUUUUGUCUAUGAUAGUUAGCAAAAAUAUAAAUAGGUAAUAAUUUAAAGUGUUAUUUAAACUUCUUAGAUUAGUCGAAAGACAAAAAAUUAGUAUGUUACAAAUGUUGGUUGUAGUGGAUUUUUUAACCCAUAAUUAUAUGUUUGUGGACUACACAUGUGGCAAAUUUUUAUUGGUGUUGGAUAAGUUACCCACAAUUUAGUCUCACAAGUGUAGCUCAAAUGGUAGCAAAUAGAGACAUUAUCGGAGUAACCGAGGUUUGAACCACACAUUCCUCCACAUUUAAAUGUGUGAGUCUUGUCAUUAGACUAUUUGACAAAAAAAAUUACCCACAAUUUUUUAAAGGAGUAUUAAAAAAAACUAAUUUAGAAUGUAACCAAGUAAUAUAGAAUAAUUUAGCUGCAUUUGAAUAAUUUUCUUUUCUUUUAUUGUAUGAGAAUUAAAAUACCUGAAUAUCCAAUUAGUCCACAUGUGCCAUGAUGAUGCAAAUUAGAUAGAAAUUUCUAAUCAAAUUUUGUACUAUUUAUUUAGUAUCUAUUUUGGAUUUUCUACGUCCAUCUUUCCCUCUCCUUCAAGCAAAAAAGUUGAAUUCACAUAUUACAAGAGAAUUUUUUAUACUUAUUUUUGUUAGGGUACAUGUUAGGUAUUUUUGUCAUCCCAAAACAUAAAACAUUUUUGUUAAAUUAGAGAUUAAAAAUAAAUAAAAUUUAUCAACAAUGAAUAAUUCACCUUGUCUUCCCAAAAAUAUUCUCCAACUACGAAGAUUAUAGUCGUCACUAAAUGGCGGUACAAACUUCGUAGAUAUAAUAUGAUAAUCCAAGAGAUAAUUAAUUUUAUAGAGGCUAAAAUCAAUAAUUUUUACUAUCUUUAACAAUUAAUUAAAUUAUUUUGUUAGGGUGGCUUUGUUUGAACUUGGAUGGUGCAAGUCAAGGUGUGUCUUUAGCUAGUUGUGGGGGACUCAUACCAGAUAGAAACAGACAGGGCCGUCUCCGACAAUUUGGAGGCCCCGAACUAAUAAUAAAAAUGGAUCCCAAAUAAAAAAAUAUAAUUUUUUUUUAUAAAAAGAACAUUAUAUAUUUAAAUUGUAAAUAACAUAAAAAAAUAGUCAUUAUAGGAUGGGAUGAACAGCUCAAUUGAUUAAGCUAGCUAGUUGAGUUCAAUUACAAGGUUUGGAUCUAUCAUCUUUGAAUUUGAAUUCUAGAUUUCCUAAUUGGCUUCAAACACAAAAUAUCUUAUCCAAUCUUUACCUUUAAAAUGUCGGUAAUCUACCUCCAAUACCUAUUUGGUUUUGGGGCAAAUUGCAAGCAAUAGAUAUAUUGGACAUUUCAAACAACAAUCUUACUGGAAAGUUUCCCAAUUUAGAACUCAAUCUUACCAACUAUCCUACUACAAUAGAUUUGAGUUCAAAUCAAUUUCAAGGUUCCAUUCCUUCUUUUUUAUUGCAAGCAAAAUCCCUUAAUCUUUCCAAUAAUAAAUUUGCAGAUUUAGUUCCCAUUCUGUGCAAUAAAAGUAAACCUAACGUUUUGGGAAUUUUGGAUUUAUCAAACAAUGAAUUAAAGGGAGAGUUGCCUGAUUGUUGGAAUAAUUUAACCCUAUUACAAUAUGUUGACCUGAGCAAUAACAAGUUGUCAGGAAAUAUUCCGUUCUCAAUGGGUGCCCUUGUUAACAUGGAGGCUUUGAUUUUAAGAAAUAAUAAUUUGAGUGGACAACUUACUUCCUCAUUGAAGAAUUGCUCAGACAAGCUGGCGAUGGUGGAUCUUGGAGAAAAUAAUUUUGAUGGUCCAAUACCUUCAUGGAUUGGAGACGGUUUACACCAAUUAAUAAUCUUAAGUCUUCGGUUCAAUAAUUUCAGUGGGAGUCUACCUUCAACUCUGUGUUAUUUGGAAAAACUUCAAGUCUUGGAUCUGUCACUAAACAUCAUAUCAGGAGGAAUUCCAUCAUGUAUUAAGAAUUUUACUUCAAUGGCUCAGAACACUAUUAGCUCAACUUCAGGUCAUU